AGGUGCGAUCAUACCAGCACUAAUGCACCGGAUCCCAUCAGAACUCCGCAGUUAAGCGUGAAGGGGCGAGGGCGGCUCUGGCGUGCGUGGAACGCCGAGGCACCGACGCCUA
rnacentral:rRNA from 1 species